AAGUGCCGCAAGCUCGGGGGUUCGCCCCGGGGCGGAGGCAUUUAUCAGAGAUUGGACGCUGUAUACCUAAUCCGGUAGUCGUUUUAGCAGCGACGGAGGGCACUCAGUCCCGGGAGCGUUUCGCAGCGCCCGGGCGGCCGGAUCAUCUCAAACCCUUUGUGAAUUCUACCUUUGUUGCUUUGGCAGGCCCGCGCCCCCGGCGCUCUCGGCUUCGGCGGAGAUGUGCCUGCCAGAGGACCCCAACUCUUGAUUUUAGUGAUGUCUGAGUACUAUAUAAUAGUUAAAACUUUCAACAACGGAUCUCUUGGUUCU
rnacentral:misc_RNA from 1 species